GGCCUAUGACAGAGAAAUGACAAAUCAGAAACAAUUGACAGACCCCUGGGCUCUCCUAAGACAAGCCUAAGAUAUCAUUGGUGCCUGUGAGACACAGGAAAGUGAUGUAAAACCGUCUAUAUAUUUUGCAUCACUUCCUCUCUCUGGUCUCUUUCCCUGGACAGGUGGCCUGGCUGGCAGCGUGUGAAGUGUUCCGGUAUCUUGGGUGGUGGCAGCUAUUGUCCGGUUUGGUGGUUCCUUCUCUUCCUCCUCAAAUGAAAACUGACUUUCUCCAAAACAACAGUCUCACCUAUCCCAAACAAUGCUUUUCUUUUUAAAUAAUUUUAUUGAGCUCCUUCAGGAUAGGGACUGUCUUGCAUACUUGUAUUUGCAUCCCCAGCACUUGGCACAUUUCCUGGAAUAAAGUAAAUAAUAAAAAGAGAAUAAAAUA
rnacentral:lncRNA from 1 species